rnacentral:ncRNA from 2 species
GCACGCCACGCGGGGUGCCCACUGGGCUGAGAGGGAGACGAUCCCGACCCGUCGAACCUGAUCUCGAUCAUGCGAGCGGAGGAUCGUGGCCGUGCCGGCGA